UAGGGAAUCUUCCGCAAUGGACGAAAGUCUGACGGAGCAACGCUGCGUGAGUGAAGAAGGAUUUCGGUUCGUAAACUCUGUUGUUAGGGAAGAAAAAAUGUAUAGUAACUAUAUACAAAAGAGACGGUACCUAACCAGAAAGCCACGGCUAACUACGUGCCAGCAGCCGCGGUAAUACGUAGGUGGCAAGCGUUGUCCGGAAUUAUUGGGCGUAAAGCGCGCGCAGGUGGUUUAGAAAGUCUGAUGUGAAAGCCCACGGCUCAACCGUGGAGGGUCAUUGGAAACUAAUAAACUUGAGUGCAGGAGAGAAAAGUGGAAUUCCUAGUGUAGCGGUGAAAUGCGUAGAGAUUAGGAGGAACACCGGUGGCGAAAGCGGCUUUUUGGCCUGCAACUGACACUGAGGCGCGAAAGCGUGGGGAGCAAACAGG
rnacentral:rRNA from 1 species